CGUAGGUGGCAAGCGUUGUCCGGAAUUAUUGGGCGUAAAGCGCGCGCAGGCGGUUCCUUAAGUCUGAUGUGAAAGCCCCCGGCUCAACCGGGGAAGGUCAUUGGAAACUGGGGAACUUGAGUGCAGAAGAGAAGAGCGGAAUUCCACGUGUAGCGGUGAAAUGCGUAGAGAUGUGGAGGAACACCAGUGGCGAAGGCGGCUCUUUGGUCUGUAACUGACGCUGAGGCGCGAAAGCGUGGGGAGCAAACAGGAUUAGAUACCCUGGUAGUCCACGCCGUAAACGAUGAGUGCUAAGUGUUAGAGGGUUUCCGCCUUUAGUGCUGCAGCUAACGCAUUAAGCACUCCGCCUGGGGAUACGGCCGCAAGGCUG
rnacentral:rRNA from 1 species